GCCAGUGUGGCAUAGUGGUUUGAGUGAUGGACUACAGCUCUGGAGACCAGGGUUCGAUUCCCAACUCAUCCA